CAUCAGGGAAUUAAUCCAUGUCAUCACACAAAGAAGGGCACACACUCUACCAGGUGUGGACUGGGAGCUUGAAUCUUAACCUUGUACAUGGUUGCUUAGGGAUACAGAUCUAGACUAUCAGUGUGCUGGAUUGCUGGCGUCAGAAUAUACCCCUAAACAGAGUAUGUGCUGUGCGUGAAGCAUCUGUGCAAGGAUUUUCAAUGCUAACAAUUGCCCACACGGAGGAGUUUGAGCAGAAGUGGGAGAGACUAUUCUAGAACCUGUACAUUUGAAAUUUAGUCAUGUCAGUCAAUUAUCUAAUCAAAGAACACAAGAGAAUGUUGGUCUUUUCAUGUCAGUCACGUGUCUGAAUGUAAAGCUAUAAAUCCAAUUUUUCUCAGUAUCACCUAGCCAUGUCAUAAUUUUAUGUAUGCAUUGUUUUUAAAAUCCCAAGAAACUUGAGCAUGUCCAAUAUAACUUAAAUUUUCUCCCUC